ensembl:lncRNA
CGGCAUCAGAGUUUUCCUGGCUUCGGAUCGAUGAUAAAUAAACAAAUGCUUAACUUUAUGGAUCUGUUAAAAUGGUCCUGCUGAUCUCUUUCUCAUUGGCUUUCUCUCUUAUACUCUGUCUAGUUCCACAUCUCUGGGGAAUUGGGCGAUUUAGCCCCGUUUCAUGGCUGAUGUGACCUCCACCAAGGUGGAGGGAUGAUAGUUGGUCAUUAAGGCCGUUUUAUAUAUACUGGGGACUGUGUAAAGAGAAAAAAAAACAGUUGUUAAGAGAAGGUUAAUGUGCUGCUUGUAAAAUCCCAGAGUAUUUUAUUUUUUUUUAUUUCUAUUUCACCAAGUUCUCCAUCAUUCCAUCUUUUUAGGCCUGGAUCCGGGGGAACUGGAGACGUGUGGGCUUUUCCAUGAGGAAGAAGAAACAGAAGGGACACAAGGCCAUUCUCAGGUGAAAGAGACACAGAGGUCGUCCACUUUGGAGGACAUGGCACACGAUGCGCAGACAGACAGCAAAUUACAGUCCACAGGUUCUGUUUGUGACGUCUCUAAGAUCGCAGCAAGCAAAAAACAAAAAUAGAACUGUGUUGAAUAAAAAAUCUGUUUCCAAACCUUCCAAUCAUGAACCCAGCCUCCGCUCAGGCCGCUCUCUUCAGGAAGCUCCAGCUAGACAUAUGAGGGCCUCUGGAGAAAGAGCUGCCAUCUCUGUGCCUGUUAGAAAAGACCUGCUGACUUCACCUCCAGAGGCCAAGAGCAAAGACCCUUUUGGGUCUUUUUACAACAACAGGUUGAGGAGGAUGCCCCAGGUUUUCUGUAAGACUUACAAGAAAUCCAAGCCCAGCUCCACAGAAGCGAGUAUGUGUGACUGUCUUUUUCUUUCUUUAUUAUUAUUCUUUCCACCACUUCUCAAACGUUGCUUUGAGUGCAAACUUGCCUUAUUUAAAAGUUCUUACCCUCCAGGGAGGUGGGUAUUGCGUUUAACAUCUUUUAUAUGCUGUGUAUGCCAACUUUUACCCCAUAAAUGCUUAAAAAAGGGAACGUGCUGCCUUUGUCUUUAA